GUCGGUUGAUUUUGUUGUUUGAUAGAGAAAGGUACAUUGAACUAAACCCGAAAAACACCAAUUUGAAGAUAGGGUUGCAAGCCCAGACUAGGAUGGAGUGGAACGAAACGCGGCUGGGAGAAUUAGGUUUUCUAAAUAGCAUUCCUCAGUCAGUGGUGCUGAGUCAGUUAAUAUUCUUUUGGCAGAGUUGUGGUACUGUAGAUGGAUAGAGAUAUGAUUAGCUUCUUAGAGGAUAUAAUUAGCAAAGGCAGAGUAGGGGGCACGCUGUAUGCAUCUUUGGAGAGCACGUCCUUCGCGGAUCUGAGAAAUUCACUAUAAUUUUCAUGUCUCUCUAGAAUAUGAUGGUUUGUAUAAUUACUGAUCUUUAGUUAUGGAGAAGUGGUUGGAGUGGGCGUAAUGCUCUGCAAAUUAAAAUUCGUUUGACAAUGACGAGAUAUUAUAACUGGUUUCGGCAAAACUGACAAUAAUAAUCACAAUGGUAAUGUGCAACAUUGAGAGGGGGUAUUUUUUUCCUUGCUUCUUGGGUCAAUCCUUUGCUCUGUCUCGGCCCCAGUCCUCGCUUACUAAUACCAUUUGACCUCAUUCAUGCAGGUCUUUAGGAUUUUUGUCAUCCCUACAUUCUACUUUCAACGGACAGAACAGAAUUUCUGCCUAAGCUAACUUCCCCCUAUUUAUGUUUUCCAUGCAUCCAUGAUCAUUCAGUUUGACAUGAUUUCAAUAGACCAUUGCUAUCUUCUACAAAUGUUUGUAAUCAAUUAUAAAAAAUGAUAAUGCCCUUGUAUAUGUAAAUGUUGGAUACCUUUAUAAUUAUUUUUCUAUGUCUUAAUCCUAGUUAUUUUACAUAAGAUUUGGCGCCUCUUCAUUUCAUUUCAUAAAAGAGAAAAAUUGAAUAGUGUCUGUGCAAAUGAUAAUGUCAAUUCUAUUGCAGUGAUUGCAAACAGACUUUCUAAUCAGUUGUGUCUGAGAACGUUUCCUCAUAUUUCCGAUCUUGAUCAAAUAGUUGGACCAAAUAAUGGAACAAUAUCAGUGGACGUAGAAUCUAGCAAUCCCAUGGAAUGGAAGAUUCUUCAGAGGAAUCAUAAUGUCUAUGCUUCUCUAGUUCUGGCCCUCGUAAAGUCUAAAGAUAACCCAAAGGAUUGCAUAGCUUGUGUAAUUGGUGCUUCCAGUACAGAUCGUGAUCCAGAAGAAAGCGUAGUUAAUAUACUGUUUCCGAUCUACAAAUAUCUGUGGAGAGGUUCAUACUGGUUAAGUAAAGGACAAGAGUAACCCUGAUGUGCCUGAGACAUUAAUAUACAAAUUAACUGCCGAUGUCUGUGUUGUUACUGAAAUUGAUUUACGGCCUUUCGAAGUGUAUUGGAAGCCUGGAAGUCCCUUGUACUCCGCAAAGGCUGUGCGAUUUCAAAUGUCUGAAACCCUUAAGGAAGAAUGGGAUUGAUUUCUGGCAUUUACCAUUGCAACAACCCGCCGAAGACAAGUUUCAUGGUCAUACACUUCACCAGAGUUCCCUAUGACACAGGAAAAUCACUUGCAGCACUUCAAGUUGUCAGAACCUUUUCUUUGUAUUGAUGGAUGUUUGCAGAUCGAACCGUUGGGGAGGGCUCAGAGAGAAGAAAUUGAUAUUUUAUUCUAUAUAUGAAGAAACCGUCGGAUUAUUCUUCUUUCCGAGAUCAUGAUAAAGCAGUAGUUAUGGAGAUUAAUGCUUGGUGAAUUUGCACGCCGAGUGGGGGGACAUAAAUAUAAGUGCCUGAGUUGCAAAAUCUGUUUCUAGUUGAUCUUGAAAGAAUAUAAAUAAGUGGUCAUGUUCAUGUACAUGUUAUAGGAAGAAUAUAAUGAAAAUUGGAGGCUACCAUUGGAUCUAAUUGGUAUAUCAUUUGCAUGCCGCAGUGUGUGUUAUAUUCGGGUUCUGGGACGUCCCCUGAGUCCUACAUUUGAAUUACAGGUCCUCAAAAAAUCCGGACAGCUGCAACUGAAAUAUAAUCCCGAGGCUUUCAGUUCUAUUCUGACAAGGUUUUCU